CAUCAACAAUCAACAUAACAGAUAACUACAUUAUGUGAUAUUUUAGAAGUUGAUAGCCUCAUUAAAAAAAGAAAGAAACAGUAGAGCAGAGUAAGGAAGAUAAUAAGAAUCUAGUGGCCAGAAGAGGCAAAUUGUAGUAAUAAAUAAGAAGGUCCAGAUAGGACGCAUUGAGUCAGUGACAUUUGACCAAAAUUUUGAAAGAGAAGAAAUGUUUCACUAAUUGGAUAUCUGCGAGCGGAGCAUUCCAGGCAGAGGGGACUGCAAGAGCAAAGGCGGUUGCUCAGGAGCCUGCUUGCGGAGACAUCAGGAGCAACGUUAGCAAGAAAAAGGAGGAAAGGCAAAUAGGCAUUUACUUUAAGCAUUACAAACUAGCAAAAUGUCCCAACAAUGAAGAAAUACUUACUUUUAAGAAUAAAAUGAAGAAAAUAUGAGAUCUAAGUGAGCAACUGGGAAGUUUACUCCAACAGAUCUGAGUCAACAUUUACAAAUCCCUAUGCUACACUGAAUAGUUCAGAACUUUGGAACUUCAAGACUCUGGUACAUUCAUCAAGAAAAUAUCUCCAUCCAGGUGUCUGGAUGGGCAGUUUGCAGCUCUUCUGCAGUGGGCCAUUUGCAGCUUUUCUCAGGGGAAAGGCUACACUGUGGGGCUUCUUCAAUCUCAACACACAGAAGAGUAACUGCUAUUGAAUUCACAUUUAAAACAUAGCUAUAUUUUCCAAAUCAGUUUUCCAUGCUAUCAUUUUAUUUGCACUUCAUAAAAAUACCAUAAAGUAGAAAGGACUGAAAAGUAUCAUAUUUAACUUAGGAGGGGG
rnacentral:lncRNA from 1 species